UCAGAUCCAGGCAUAACAUCCAUCAGGGUGUAUUGCGGCAGAUACGCUGCCAUACCCGAAAGUAGAUCAGCGGGAUGACAGCGUAUCUGUCAGCCUGAAAGAUGACCCGUAUAACUAAAAAGGCCGCAUUGCGGCCUUUUUUUCUUUCAAGUAGAGGAUACCCACCGUAAAAUCACGUCUACCUCUUUUCAGCUGAAUGGAUAAC
rnacentral:sRNA from 1 species